rnacentral:rRNA from 1 species
UACGGAAGGCAGCAGUGGGGAAUAUUGGACAAUGGGCGCAAGCCUGAUCCAGCCAUGCCGCGUGUGUGAAGAAGGCCUUUUUGGUUGUAAAGCACUUUAAGCGAGGAGGAGGCUCUCUUAGUUAAUACCUAAGAUGAGUGGACGUUACUCGCAGAAUAAGCACCGGCUAACUCUGUGCCAGCAGCCGCGGUAAUACAGAGGGUGCGAGCGUUAAUCGGAUUUUACUGGGCGUAAAGCGUGCGUAGGCGGCUUUUUUAAGUCGGAUGUGAAAUCCCCGAGCUUAACUUGGGAAUUGCAUUCGAUACUGGGAAGCUAGAGUAUGGGAGAGGAUGGUAGAAUUCCAGGUGUAGCGGUGAAAUGCGUAGAGAUCUGGAGGAAUACCGAUGGGCGAAGGCAGCCAUCUGGGCCUAAUACUGACGCUGAGGUCGAAAGCAUGGGGAGCAAACAGGGAUUAGAUACCCGU